rnacentral:sRNA from 1 species
GCGAUAGAAGCGGCAUCCUUUUUCUUAUGACUGGCGAAAGCCAAGAAGAAGAAAAAGAUAUAGCGGAUAGCGCG